rnacentral:tRNA from 7 species
GCGGGCCUGGAGCAGCGGUAGAGCCUACCUUCUGUAACCGGAAGGUCCCGGGUUCGAACCCCAGCCUCUGCA